GUGAGUAUAUCUGCGCACACGCACAGCCAGGAGUACACUUGUAUGUGAGAAAAGACUGUUUGACCAAGCUGGAUUCCUUGUCUAUGUGCCUGGGCAAGGCAUGGUUUCCCAUAUGUGUUCCUUCCUGCUGUGUUUUAUUGCUUGGGGUGCCCAUCUUCCGCUCUUGGGAGAUACAUUAGUAAUCCGUGUUCCAGAGGUUUACUUUCAAAGUUUUCAAUGACCUGUGGUUAAGUGAGAUCCCAGAAUAUGAAACGGAAAAUUACAGUAAAAAAAAAAUUCUAAGUUUGGAAUUGCGUGCUGUUCUGUGUAGUGUGAUGAAAUCUUUUACCACACCAACCAGGACAUGAAUCACCCCAUAGCCUAGCACAGCAUGCUGCAUGCGUCACAGAGCUGUUAGUCACUCCCUAGCUGUCUCCUUCGUCAGACCAACUGUUGCAUAUCACAGUGCUGUGGAGCUGGUGAUUCAGGUAUGUCCUCCCAAGGGACAAAGAGUGAGUUGGGGGUAUCAGUCAUGUGCCGCACAAACACCCCACUUCUUUCUUCCAUCCAGCACAUGAAACAGAAGCACCCAUUGAACACCAGUCUCUGAAUAAAGGAAUCUGUUUGCAGAGCCCCCUGCUGGCCGGUGGUGGACACACAGUACAAAAGAGAAAUCACCACACUGCUUUACAUUUCUGAGCAGGCUUGUUACUGCAGCAUGACACAACCUCUUCUGGCUAAAUAAAUAAUCUGGUCCUCAACGCCUUUGUCUGGCACAGCAGCUCUCUGAGAGAGAGGAGAGGAAUACAUUGUUCCCAUUUGUAAGGUGAAGAAACUGGCACCAAGAGAAUGAGACAGAGGCCGAAUGAAGACACUGUGGCCAGCAACUUAUGCUCACUGUCAGAGGAGAACAGCUGCUCCAAGCAGGAAAGCUGGUCAGAGACUAGUGACUUCCUCACCUGGUGAAGGUCAUUUGAUGACUCAGUAUCAAAGUCAGCACUAAAAUGAAAACAACAAUAACAAGAAAAGGUAACAAUUGUUGGCAAGAGCCCUGUGUGUUACUGACAGAAAGUUAGAUGGUACAGCCCCUGAGGAUAAACGGUAAGGUGGUACCUCAAAAAAUUAAACGUGACUUACCUGAAGAUACAGAAACUUCAUUCCCACCUGCCAGCGGGUCCAGAGGAACCAGAGAAGAUAUUUGUAAACCUACAUUGUUAACAACGUUAUUUACAUUAUCUAGAAGGCAGAAGCAACCCUUGUCCAUAAUAGGCAAACGGACACACCACAUGGCAUGUACACCUCCCAGGGAAUCUCAUUUCAUUGUUGAAGGAAGAAAAUGCCAGGGCACCCUGCAGCAGAAGGAACAUGGAGGACACUGGGGAGGGGCCAGCUGGACCAGGAUGAGACUCUACUUUGAAAGAAAUGCCACAGAGCUUCUAGAUAUCAAUCACAUACAAGAGGCAGCUGAGGGGUGAGUUCAGCUAAAUAUCCCAUUAAGUUGCCUGUGGUCUUCCCCUCCGCUGAGGAGGAGGGGAAAAAAGCAUUGGGGGGAGAGCACUGGCACUUCAGUAAUCCCUACAAAACUUGGACCUCCCGUGUAGUGCUGGGUGUAGGUAAGGCACAGGAUAACUGGUAUGGAAAGCAGUAUGACAGAGCCUGAAAAUUCUAAACACAGGACUGACAAGUGCUCUGGUGGUCUACCUCUGGGUUUCUAACCCAGACAAUCAAGAGCAGAGAUUCUGGAGGGCAGUCUCUGCACACGUGUUUAUAAUAACACCGUUCGCAAUCGGCCAAAGUUAGAGACAACAGGACAUCCAUGGACCACAUGGCCAGCAGCAAGAAGCCAGAGCUGAGCUCAGCUGGAAGAACAGAUUCACAGUUUCUAUGUCCUGUUCUACUCUGCCUGUCACCCAGUCCCAUGCACACUGAUGAAGAGCAUGUUAAUGGUGUAUAAUGUAAGUUUGGGCAGAAAGAGACAAAUCUAGAAAGAAAGACCCUCAAGAAUAUAUACACAGCCCCUUGAGGUGGUUGUUCGUGCUCCAUGCUCAAACCCUCUCAAAAGUUACUAAAACAACAAGAGCACAAUGGGGGCUCAGUAAAUAUUUGGUUAGUGACUAAUUCUUUUCAGAGACAACCCUGAGAUCUUCCUGGAAGAGGAGGCCACGAGGUAGAGUCUGAAGGCUAAGUACCUCACUUGAGCCUCCCUUGCCUGUUUUCCUGAGUUCACCAUCCAGCCAGACUCUUUCCCAGAAUGACCUCAUCUCAUCGGUGCAGGCGCUUGCUCGGUUUCAGUCACUAUCUUUGUUCAGGCUUUCCCCCACGAUGCUGCUCACCGUCCCUGCCUUCCUUUCUUUGUCCCUUCUCAGCUGCCCUAUUUCUGGUGCUUAAUUACAGUCCUGCUAUGCAGACAAUAAUGACGCCAUCCUUCUCAAAAGAUGAUUGUGUCUGCUUGCUCUUUUGUCCAGAGCAAAAAGACAGCAAGCCCAUCUGAUCAUCAAAAGGAGUGCUGUGUUAGUUGGGGACCAUUUCAGGAGGCACUGAGUGACGCUGGCUGUCACCACACUCACCCGCUCACCCAAGUACCCAGUGCAGUUUCCAUUCUGCUUGCUCUUGAAGGCUAUCCUAUUAAAUUUAUUACACUUUUUAGACCUGAGUGCUUUACUUAAAAAAAAAAAAGCAAAACUCUUUGCAGCACGUACUUGAGGUGUGUGUGUGUGUGUGUGUGUGUGUGUGUGUGUGUGUGUGUGUAUGUUUUAAUGACAGCAAAGGAGAGAUUUGCCCAGCAGGAGCAAAUUUAGGACCUCAACAGUCUUGCUAGGAACUAAGCUCCUCUGUUCGGCCCCAGAUACAGCUCAGCAAAUGGACUUGCUGUUUCCAUUGGCAACGCAAAGCAAAGGCUCUGAAACUUUUCAAGGCCCUUCAAAUUCCACAAGACCUGGGGUGCCAAGUUGGGGCAGAAUCAGCCCCCAAAGAAGGGAAAGGAUACCAACAACUAAAAAUGAAUAGUAAUGUUACAUACAGAACUGUAUUUUUUUAACAGCCAAAAAAACCAUAAAUAGUGUGGAACAUGACUGUGUUUUGAUAUACACUAUCCCACCCAGGGGCAGCAAAGAAGAGGCAGGGCAGGUAUUGGAGGGCUCUGGAGGGCCUGCUGGCCACAGGGUUGCCUUUCUCCUUCCUCUCAUCUUUUGGCCUCCUAGAAGCCAUCUGGAAUGAUCCGAAGAGAAACCUUUUGUACGGUUCAGGAGAGCUUUUAUUUCCCCAUCAUAAAUCAGAGAAUUGGAACUUCAGUGGCAAGAGGAAGAUUUAAGAAUUAAAAUGAUGAAAACUUACAAGAUCUCCCCAACAGGAUGAUUUAAUGACAUCACCUUGGCCAAGAUUCAGGAAUUCGGGACUCCAAGUUAUCCUGAACAGUCUAAAACCGAAAAUGGAAAGAUGAUUUUGCUUUGAGUCCAUGUGAACUCUGUGGAUGAGGGGAUGGACGCGGAGAACAUCUAUUCUGAGUAGAUGAGUUAAACAUAAAACUCUCAACACCAGUGAGGAAAUCAGAUUCCACGUUCACUUAAACUGUCCGCAGAGACCUUCAUUUUACAAACAAGAAACCCAGUGAAGGAAAGUCUGGCCUGGCAUUCCUUUCAUUUGCAGAUGUUGUGUAUCCUCAUUAUUCAUUGUAAACAGAGAAGGCUCCGUGCCACCUCAGUCAUACUGCAGGAGGAUGUUUUCACCAGCUCAGAAAAGGGGGGAAUGGGUGUAAAAAUAUUUAUGCUGCAUUUUCCAGGACUGUGUUUGAUUUCCUUUUUGGUUUGUUUAUUUUGUGGAAUGAGAGGGAUGGUGCAUCUUAUUUUUACAAGCUUGUAUUGUUACCCCAGGAAUGUUUUGGCAGAUGCAAAAUUAAAAACAAACUUCAUGUUUUCUUCAGUGCCCUUCAGGGCCCGAAAGGACAGGAACAAAGUAUCGUGGUUUGUCAUCAGAGCGCCAGGAAGCCACAAGGAAACGGAGUUUAUGAACCAAAUUGCUCAAAACGGGAAAGAAAUGAAAAAUGUGCAGCAGAUGCUCCCAGACUGGAGAACAAGCCAGAGGAAGGCCCACAGCAAAGCUUAUUGGCCUUCAACAAUAGCUGUUUGCACGCACAUGCGCGCGCAUGCGCACACACACACACACACACACACACACACACACACACACACCAAUUCUCUUCUAUAGUCAUUUCCCUGGGAUUUGAAAUUGAUAACUGUGGACACAAAGACACACUUGGCCUAAUUUGUCAGGCUAUUUGGAGUCAUGGGUGUCACCCUGCAUGUCUGGUAUGUGUACAGAUGGCUCCUGCUGGCUUCAAUAAAAUUGGAAAGCAGAAAGUCUGUAAUUUUUUUUCCAGACCAUUUAAAGGGGUUGCUUGUCAGUGCCCUGGUGUUGAAAUGGGAAUGUUAUACUGACUUUCUGGAAGUGUUCCCCAUGUUUAUAGACUGGUAACACAAUGUGUGGGUGAAAGAGAGAGCGAGCCAAUCAAUACUGUCAUCCAGUCUACUGAGUGCUUCAGCCAAACGUGCCCCCCCCCCGCCCCCGUUUUGCUGGUAAGCAAUGCUCCUGCUUGAUCAUGCAAGCAUUCAUUAAGGCAGCAAUUUCCAAAUCACUUUGCCAUUCUUUUGCAAUAUCCAUCAUUUAUCUACUUUUCAAAGACACUUGGUUUGUUUAAAAAUAAAAUAAAUUACCAGGGAAUCUGAGGCAGGCGGCUUACCUACUUCAAGACAACAUAGGGGAGAUCAUAUAUUACAAACAAAGCAAAGUAACAACAACAACAAUAAUAAUAAUUCUACAAAGUUUACAUUGUAACUCUGAAGAGAAACAAACAACUCACCACUACUACAAAGUAGCUAUCAAAAUUAUCUUGCCUAUCUAAGGUUGGGGAGUUGCAAGUAGGUGUCCACAGGGCAGAUAGAGAUGCUGAAGUAGAGAACAUCUCUGAAGAUGAAGAUGGAAGGGCAGUGGGGAAGGGACUGAACUAACUCUGAUGCCUGUGAAGGCUGUCUCCAUCCUGGAAGUAGACAUUUAUCUUGUGUUAGACCAGUGGUUUUCAACCUUCCCAAUGCUGCUACCCUUUAACACAGCUCCUCAUGUUGUGGUGACAGCCCUCCCCCUCCACCCCCCCCCCGCCGUAUAAUUACUUUGCUAAUACUUCAUAACUGUAAUUUUGCAACUGUUAUGAAUUGUAACGUAAAUAUCUGAUAUGCAGAAUACCUGAUAUGAGACCUACAAAAGGACAGUGAACCCCAGGUUGAGAACUACUGCUUGUAAGAGGUUUAUUAUUAUUUAUUGUUAUUUCUUGGGUGAAGAAAAAGUACUUACCUUCCGAAACUGAUCCCAGACAUGUUUAUUCCUUUUAUUUGGAUACUUGCACUGUGUGUUCCAAAGGGAGAUUAAUAUGUGAUAGUCCCCUUAACAGCUGUUGUUUCUGGAAAAUGUAGAUUCAGGCACUUGGUUUUGUGAUUUUGAGGGUUCUCACAGAGAAGCCGGCUACACAGACAAGCAAAGGAAAGAUUAGAGAAGUCUGUUUGCCCAAAGUCACACUUGGGUAACUCAAAUCAGGCUGCCUAUAAUUUGGGGCAUCUUCUUACUGUCUGCAUUUUGCAGUAUGUUAAACUCGUUUACAUUUGGUGUUUUGUGUCUAGACAAACACGUUUGUCCUGAAAAGUGCUUGCUUUCUCUCGUGAUGGUCUAGUGCUGCCACAGUUCUGCAUCAUGGCCCAAGCUCCAUGAAAUAAAACGAUGACAAUUGUUCUUACAGCUCUAGGCUGACCCUAGGGAACCAGGUUCAGCACCUGAGAGAGAUACAUUCUAAAUGUCUCCCACUCUGUGCCCUGGGACUCUGGAGCUACCCAGGAUGUACCCUUCCUUGGACAAGGGCACAGAAACAG
rnacentral:lncRNA from 1 species